UUAUUGAUUGGUUUUGAUAUGAUGUACUAUCGUGUUUACUUGAUUUUUCUAAAGCCGAUUGAAUAGACUUAUUUUUAUCAUUACUGCUGGAUUCGUAGGCAUGUAGAUUAGUUGCAUUGCAUAGCAUUGUUUUUUUGUGUUUUUGCUUGAGGACAAGCAACGGUUUAAGUUUGGGGGUAUUUGAUAAGUAGGUUUUAUACAUACUUAUCCGGUAUAUGUUACUUGAAUUAUUUGCUUAAUCUCAUGUUUCUUAGUUACUUUUCAUGCAUUUUGUGUUCGUUUUGUAGAUUAUAUGCUUGGGAGUUGAAAGCGCAAAGAAUUAGUAUUAAAACGCAAAGAAAAGCAAUCCGAACAUCGUUUGGGCUUUCAUGUUCAUUUCAUUUUCUUGGCUUGGAACUUGGAUUAUAUUGUAGAGCUUCUUCUUAGCUUUCGGGAACAUCUUGAAUCAUUCCAAUCGGAGUUCGGAUGAAAGAGUUAUGACAUGUGUACCAACGGACGUCGAACGUCACUGUGUUGGGUGGCCAUUUGCACAGCAGUCACUUCCAGCCCAAUUUCAACCUUCAUCCGUUUGUUAUUUCUCAAAUUCUCAAAUCAUGAAAGUUGUAGAUCUCGUCGAUAUCUUCAAUUUGAUAGGUGGCAGGCCUCGUAACUCUUCAUGGAUCAAAAG
rnacentral:lncRNA from 1 species